rnacentral:rRNA from 1 species
UAAGACGAACCACACGAACGUUAUUCGGAAUUACUGGGCUUAAAGGGUGCGUAGGCUGUGCGGAAAGUUGGGUGUGAAAUCCCCCGGCUCAACCGGGGAAUUGCGCCCAAAACUACCGUGCUAGAGGAAGAUAGAGGUGAGCGGAACUUCGGGUGGAGCGGUGAAAUGCGUUGAUAUCCGAAGGAACACCGGUGGCGAAAGCGGCUCACUGGAUCUUUUCUGACGCUGAUGCACGAAAGCUAGGGGAGCAAACGGGAUUAGAUACCCCGGUAGUCCUAGCCGUAAACGAUGAGCACUGGGUUGAAGGGUCCUCCAUAGCCUUUCAGCCGAAGCAAAAGUGUUAAGUGCUCCGCCUGGGGAGUAUGGUCGCAAGGCUG